rnacentral:rRNA from 1 species
CUUCCGUAAGGUGACCUGCGGAAGGAUCAUUUAAUGAAUUUGAAGUGAGGCUUGAUGCUGGCGGCCUAACGGCUGCAUGUGCUCGGUCUCCGCAAAUCCACUUUACACCUGUGCACUUUCAAGCUCUGUAGUCCUCCGUAAUGGGAGCCGUGGUCAUUGACUGUUGGGACUACACCUUUGCCCAUAUAUUACAAACUCUGUAUAAUGUCUUGUAGAAUGUCUAUUGGCCUUCAUUGGCUUAACAUAAUACAACUUUCAACAACGGAUCUCUUGGCUCUCGCAUCGAUGAAGAACGCAGCGAAAUGCGAUAAGUAAUGUGAAUUGCAGAAUUCAGUGAAUCAUCGAAUCUUUGAACGCACCUUGCGCUCCUUGGUAUUCCGAGGAGCAUGCCUGUUUGAGUGUCAUUUAAUCAUCAAUCUGCAACUUCUUCAUGUUGUUUGCUGGAUUGGACUUGGGGAUUUGCUGGUUCUGAAUCGGCUUCCCUCAAAUGCAUUAGCUGGAGCGAUGCAAGCAGCAUAUAUGCGGUGUGAUAAUAUCUUCACUGCGUUGCUCUUGUUGAAUCUGGCUUCUAACCGUCCUUCAGUUGGACAAUGCUUUGACAAUCUGACCUCAAAUCAGGUAGGACUACCCGCUGAACUUAAGCAUAUCAAUA